AAAUUGUUACUUUAAAUUUGUCUAAAUUAUGCCCAAAAGUUGUCAAAUUUCAUUCUCUAUAGGAUACAUGCUUUGUUUAUUAUUUUAGGUACUUAUACAACUAAGAAAAGCAUUUUAAAUUAUAUACAGCUUUGUACAUUGUUUACCACAUGCAUAUCUUUACAUAUAUGCAUAUAUACAGAGCAACUAAAUAUUUCAACAAUAGUAAUUACUUGAUUUAUUUUAUUACCAGUUUGUCCAAGCUGUGUAAUAACUUUGACCGUGUUAAGCUCGGAUUUCUCUGGCCUCAUAGAGCAUGUGUUUGAUAGCACUUUCUUGACUUUCUAUAGGGAUUUAAUCCACAUCUAAGUACAUUAGACAUAGACAAGUGCUGUCCCGCUGUCUUCCCUAAAGUGUCAAACACAGCAGAGAAUCACGUCCCUCUGCCAGGGCCCUCAUCCCUCAUCUUGGGUCCCUGCAUUAUCCUUUUGUGAGCUGCUUUCAGACUUGGUGGCUUAAGGAUUUUCUGAAAUGUUCUUAUUGGUGUCCUCAUCCUCCAAUAUAAAUAAAGCAAGAACAAAAACUCAGUUGCAGCAUUCACAUUCAGAGGCAUGAAUAUUUGCCCUUUUUUAUGCAAGAAAAGCUGUCAUUUUGUAAGGUAAUUUAUCAUUUUACCUUAUAGUAUGAUAUUGUUGGUUCCUUGGGUUAAGAGGGAAUCCCCUUCAGCUUCAUUAUUCUAAAGUUUCAAAGUUUUUCUCUAAAAGACUGAUAUACCAUCAUUAUUUAAAUUAUAUUUCUCCUCUCUUGGGAAAAUUUGGUUUCACAUAGCUCACAUAGCUUACUUGGUCUCAUGUGGCAGCUAUCUUCAUUCCCCCAUUUUCUGUUAAUACUUUCUAACCCAAUUUUAAUGGUAAAAUUUAUUAUUUACUCACUCUGUACUUCUAGAAGUUGAAUUACAGCUGGCUAUUUUUAUAUGCUCCCAGUUGUUUUUAGUCAUAGCAUUCAGUGUCUAAGUGGAAGUCAUAUUUUUAAUGUGUAAAUUAUACUUGCUUUAUCUAGAGUCUUACAUGAUAUAUGGUGGUCUCAUAGAGCCCAGGCUGUACUCAUCAUGUAGCCAAGGAUGACCUUAAACCAAUCCUUCUGCCUCUACCUGUCAGACCAGGUGUACAUUCUUAUGCCGGCUUCAAAGUAGCAUUUUUAUGUAAUGUAGUUUUUAUUUUUUUAGAAAUCUUAGUGAGGGAUUGAUUUUACUCUGUUCUCCUAAAGGAAGUAUUUGGUUUUCUUCCUGUCUUCUUGCUCUUCUAGGGCAGUCAGUCAGACCUGAUGCCAUUUGUUGUUCCACAGACAUUCCCUCAUUUAGAGGGGUGUGGUCCUGAAGGGCUACAGUACUGUCACUUUUCUGCCUUAAGUGUUUUCAUAACCCUUACUUUGAAUUUUAUUUGUUUAAGUGUGGCUGUAUGAUGGCUUUAUCAGAUGUCAGAGCUGGUUUGCUGAUUGUAUUUGGAGCCACAAUCCUCUGUUGAGUACUCAUUUAUGAUUUACUUUCACAUAUUUUAAAGCUGGAAUGAGACACCUAAACUAUUUGUCAGAAGCAGGAUAAUAAAAUCAGUGCAUCUUCUGAAGGUUUUGCCAUUCUUUCCCUCCUGUGUGCAGAGUUUGCAUAGAUUAAUAUAUACUAAUUUUCAUGCAGUUUGGACUGUGGGCCUCACUGUUGAGGAAAAGGCAGCCAUUCUUCUGUCUGCAAGAAUAGUUACUUGAGAGAAACAUCUCCUUGAAAUAUAGAUGCCACCAGCUUAACAUUUCUCUUCUCUCCCCAUUUAAGCAAUAUCUAUGUGUGCAUAGGUACAUACAUAAGAAUUCACUGCAGCAAUACAAUCUAUGCAGAUGUCAGUACAUGUGAUGUAGAGUCAAGGUAGAAUUCUCUUAGCUCUGAGAGUAGUUGUGUUGCAGUCUAAGAGCACAUUUAUUUCUGUACCUUGGGAUCAUCUCAAGGUUAAAUUAAUCAAAACUCUACAAAAUUAUAAGCAAAACAUCUACUGUACCAACAGGAAGGCAGCCUUAGUUGACCGACUCACUGUACAGAUUUAAAGGGCUGCAGAGGUGCAGAGAACUGCUAAGAGGUCUUAGCAUGGUUGUUCACUUACACUGUGGAAUCUUGAACUUUCAGCUUUUGCCUUCUUGCACUACAUAUGUGUGUAUUUUUAUGUGAAAUACUAUGUUUAUUUGAUUAAGAUUUAUGUUUGUUAUUGGCGCAAGAUGUUGGAAGAUCACCUCUUAAGAUUUUCAAAAAUACCAGUGAUGAUUUAGCAAAGGUAUGUUUUUCCAGUAAAGCGCAGAACAAUCAAAAAUAGCUUGCAUUUAAACCAAAAAAGCCUUUAUAAAAACCAGUUGCUUGUACUGCUUCUCAGUUAUGUAAGGAUGAAUCAGCAAGCAAACAGCAUGAAAUAUUAAGAGACAGAAAGACUGAGUUAAUAGUUUGGUUGUAUGG
rnacentral:lncRNA from 1 species